UACAGAGGUCUCAAGCGUUGUUCGGAUUCAUUGGGCGUAAAGGGUGCGUAGGUGGCGAGGCAAGUCAGGUGUGAAAUCCCGGGGCUCAACCCCGGAACUGCAUUUGAAACUGCCUUGCUCGAGUACUGGAGAGGAGACUGGAAUUUACGGUGUAGCAGUGAAAUGCGUAGAUAUCGUAAGGAAGACCAGUGGCGAAGGCGAGUCUCUGGACAGUUACUGACACUGAGGCACGAAGGCCAGGGGAGCAAACGGG
rnacentral:rRNA from 1 species